rnacentral:rRNA from 1 species
ACGAACGCUGGCGGCGUGCUUAACACAUGCAAGUCGAACGGAAAGGCCCUGCUUUUGUGGGGUGCUCGAGUGGCGAACGGGUGAGUAACACGUGAGUAACCUGCCCUUGACUUUGGGAUAACUUCAGGAAACUGGGGCUAAUACCGGAUAGGAGCUCCUGCUGCAUGGUGGGGGUUGGAAAGUUUCGGCGGUUGGGGAUGGACUCGCGGCUGAUGAGCUUGUGGGUGGGGUAGUGGCUUACCAAGGCUUUGACGGGUAGCGGCCCGUGGAGGGUGACCGGCCAAUUUGGAAUGGGCAAACGCCCCGGAUUCCUAGGGGCGGCAGAGUGGGGGAAUAUUGCACACUGGCGGGAGGCCUAAGGCGGAACGGCCGCGUGCGGACUGCGGGCAUUGGGUUUGUAAACCGGUUUCGCCUGGAACGAAGGGUGGUCGACGUUAUUGGGUAAGGAAGCACAGGCUAACACCUC